CCCCCGAGGUGGCCGUCUCUCUCAUUUUGGGCUCAUUUUCCAUCAGUUUGGUGCUGAUUUUGGCCGUCGCCUCCUUUUUCUACCUCAAACGCUCCAAGCGGCUCCCGCGGCUCUUCUACCGCCAAAACAAAGCAUCCGUCCUCCAGCCCAGUGAAACGGCCUCCAUGAUUCCCCCUCCGACCUCCUCAG